GGAGCCCUGAGCUCUAGGGGCAUCAUCUUUCAUAGAGUGCAGGGGUUAGCAUGCUGGGCAGCAGUUACAGCUUGUGCAAAUGCCCUGUGGCAGGACUGAGCAAGGCUUUGACCAGUACAGGUGGAGUGUAGAAAGAGAGGCAGGCUGUGAGGCUGGAAGCCUGGAGGUCAGACUAGAGCAUUGAUUCUCUAUCUUGGGAAUACAUCAGCAUUACUUAGGGAGAUGGGAUUAUUAAAACUCAGAUUCUAGGGUCUCAUUCCUAGAAUUUCUGGUUCAAAUUCUAGGUCGGGGAUCCUAUCCCAGAAUGUUCAUUUCCAACAACUUUGUGGGUGAUGCCGUUGCUGGUGGGAGGAUCACAUUUUGAGAAACGCUCCCCAUGGAAUUUAAGAGUCGGGGGAGACUCAGGACUUUCUGAGGAGGGAUCCAAUCAGAUUUGAAACUAUCUGUGGUGAACACCUGAGAGCCAACAGGAGUGAAGCCCACGGGGGGGCAAUGACUAAGGAGCAGCUUUUCCAAGGUCUCUGGGUGAAGGAGGGAAGUGUUUGGAUCAGCUCUGCGGCUCGGGAUGGGAAGAAGAAGAAGCCAGUUCUGAACAAUGUUCAGGUAGUGGAAUGGGCAGGUGCUGGAGAUGAACUGGACCAGAUGGGAGAUGAAAUUCCCAGGCUCUCAGACAGGGCUCUACCCUUGCUUUAAUGCAAUUCUUCUUUAUUUAUUUUCUGAAUAAGAUGUGCAUUUUCAUUUUGUAGUUCUGGCUUUUGCAACGUUGGAGUGGCAGUUACUUCCCUGUCCCUCACCUCCACCCUCACAAAGUGAAUUGGGCACUGAUCGAAUGGAGGAGUCCUUCUCCCGUCCACCCCGUGACUCCCAGGCGCCUCUCUCCCCAACUCUUCCCCAGUCUUACAAUCAUUUCUUUGUGUAUCACGGGCCCAUCCUCCUGGAAGACUCCGUCCGGCUUCUGCUUCUCCAGGAUCAGCCAUUUCACAGCCCCGCAGAGGACCUGGGAGUCGAUGGCAAUGAGGUUGACCGCCAGAGAGAAGACCUUGACCACGUACGCCGUCAGCCUGGGGCGGAGGGCGGACACAGAGAGUGAACCAAUCGACUUUGGGAUCUAGAGACUGCCAUUCCACUUGCCCAAUGGGAAGAGCGGGGCGGGGCCUGGCUCGGUGGCCGGAUUUCCCUGCCUAGGACUCCAGAGUUGGGCUAAGUUAGAGCUUAAAGACUCUACCGCCGCCGGUCACUCAGCCAGCGGAUGCGUUGACUGAAGGCUGACAUGUCCACGGUAGGGUCGCACAGGGCUGUUUGGGUCCGGCCGGCCUAGACCACCCCUGGCUGGAACCCAGGCCCUGCUCAGCCAGGUGCGAGGCGGAGGCUGGCCAAGCUGACCACUCCGACUCACCAGCAGAAAAUGCUCUUUGCUGAAGUCAACAGUGCCAGGAGGCCCCUUUAAAACAGAUCCGAGAGGCGCUGUUCCCGCUGAAGUGGAGGCAGGCGCUGUGGCUGACAGUCAGUUUGACUCUUAGGUGCACGUGUGGGAAGAUAGCAAGCUAACUGGCCGCUCUCCGGAAUAUAUCUGCGCAUCCAGCGGGUACCCCGAAGCCACGUGGGGUCAUCACCCAGCUGGACAUGUGCUGGCUGGAGUGGGACUGGAUAUUUACUUUUAUUUAAUUUACCUCAUUUUCACUUAUUUAAUCUCACCCAAAUUUAAACUAAAAAGCUACUGCUCAAAGAUAUAUGUUGUGAAUAAGGUAACAGCUUAUGAGUUGCACAGUUUAGAAGGGUGAUGUUUACCAGUGAGUUAAAUCUCAAUUUACAAAACAGCAAUGCUUGAUUCAGCGACUGGGAAACGUUUAAGUAUGUUUAUAACAACUUGGGCUUGCGAAUUUGCCUUUUCAACUGUAAACAUCAUGAAAUCCGAAAUAUAGAUCGAAAAUAUUUCCAGUGAAAAUCUAGUCCUGAGCUGCUCAAGUGAAAUACACACCAGAUUGUGAAGACUAGUGCAAAUAAGAGAAAAAUUUAGCACUAAUAAUUUUUGACAUAUUCAUAAAUUAUUAAACAUUAAAAGAUUAUUAUAACAUUUGUGUAAUAGUAGUUUUGUAACUUUUUAAUAAAAUGUAAUGAUACUAUUUUGGAUAUAUUUAGUUAUAUAAGUACUAUGAUAAA